rnacentral:rRNA from 1 species
CCUACGGGUGGCAGCAGUGGGGAAUAUUGGGCAAUGGGCGCAAGCCUGACCCAGCAACGCCGCGUGAAGGAAGAAGGCUUUCGGGUUGUAAACUUCUUUUUUGAGGGCCGAAAAAAAUGACGGUCCCUCAUGAUUAAGCCUCGCCUAACUACGUGCCAGCAGCCGCGGUAAUCCGUAGGUGGCAGGCGUGAUCCGGAUUUACUGGGUGUAAAGGGCGUGUGGGCGGGACUGCAAGGCAGAUGGAAAAAUGAUGGGCUCAACCCAUAACCCGCAGUUGAAACGGUAGUUCUUGAGUGAUGGAGAGGCAGGCGGAAUGCGGGGUGUAGCGGUGAAAUGCGUAGAUAUACGGAGGAACACCAGUGGCGAAGGCGGCGUGCUGGAGAUUAACUGACGCUGAGGCGCGAAAGCGUGGGGAGCAAACAGGAUUAGAUACCCGUGUAGUC